UACGUAGGGUGCGAGCGUUGUCCGGAAUUACUGGGCGUAAAGAGCUCGUAGGCGGUUUGUCGCGUUGUUCGUGAAAACUCACAGCUCAACUGUGGGCGUGCGGGCGAUACGGGCAGACUGGAGUACUGCAGAGGAGACUGGAAUUCCUGGUGUAGCGGUGGAAUGCGCAGAUAUCAGGAGGAACACCGGUGGCGAAGGCGGGUCUCUGGGCAGUAACUGACGCUGAGGAGCGAAAGCGUGGGGAGCGAACAGG
rnacentral:rRNA from 1 species